GACGAGGGGUCCAAGCGUUGUUCGGAAUUAUUGGGCGUAAAGCGGGUGUAGGUGGCUCUGUAAGUCAGAAGUGAAAGCCCCCGAGCUUAACUUGGGAAGUGCUUUUGAUACUGCAGAGCUUGAGUGUGGGAGAGGAUCGUGGAAUUCCAGGUGUAGUGGUGAAAUACGUAGAUAUCUGGAGGAACACCGGUGGCGAAGGCGGCGAUCUGGCCCAACACUGACACUGAGACCCGAAAGCGUGGGGAUCAAACAGG
rnacentral:rRNA from 1 species